AGCAGCCGCGGUAAUUCCAGCUCCAAUAGCGUAUAUUAAAGUUGUUGCAGUUAAAAAGCUCGUAGUUGAAUUUCGGGGUUCAUACGUUGGUCGGGCUUUUUGGUCUGUACUGGCGUAAUGGAUUCCUACCUUCUGAAUAACCGGCAUGCCAUUAAUUUGGUGCGCCGGGGAAGCAGGACUGUUACCUUGAAAAAAUUAGAGUGCUUAAAGCAGGCUAUCGCCUGAAUACAUUAGCAUGGAAUAAUGAAAUAGGACGGCAUGGUUCUAUUUUGUUGGUUUCUAGGAUCACCGUAAUGAUUAAUAGGGAUAGUUGGGGGCGUUAGUAUUCAAUUGUCAGAGGUGAAAUUCUUGGAUUUAUUGAAGACUAACUUCUGCGAAAGCAUUUGCCAAGGAUGUUUUCAUUAAUCAAGAACGAAAGUUAGGGGAUCGAAGACGAUCAGAUACCGUCGUAGUCUUAACCAUAAACUAUGCCGACUAGGGAUCGGACGAUGUUAAUUUUUUAAUGACUCGUUCGGCGCCU
rnacentral:rRNA from 1 species